rnacentral:rRNA from 1 species
CACGUAGGGCGCAAGCGUUGUCCGGAAUUAUUGGGCGUAAAGAGCUCGUAGGCGGUCUGUUGCGUCCGCUGUGAAAACUCGGGGCUUAACCCCGAGCCUGCAGUGGAUACGGGCAGACUAGAGGUAGGUAGGGGAGACUGGAAUUCCUGGUGUAGCGGUGAAAUGCGCAGAUAUCAGGAGGAACACCGAUGGCGAAGGCAGGUCUCUGGGCAUUAACUUACGCUGAGGAGCGAAAGCAUGGGGAGCGAACAGG